AGGACGAACGCUUGCGACGUGCCUAAGAAAUGCAAGUCGAACGGAUCAGCAGCAAUGCUGGUUAGUGGCGAACGGUCGCGUAACACGUGGGCAACCUGCCCUGAAGCGGGGGACAACAAGCCGAAAGGUUUGCUAAUACCGCAUGUGGAUCGCCCUGGCAUCAGGGAUUAUCCAAAGCAGCAAUGCACUUCAGGAUGGGCCCGCGGCCUAUCAGCUAGUUGGAGGGGUAACGGCCCACCAAGGCUUCGACGGGUAGCUGGUCUGAGAGGACGAUCAGCCGGAUUGGGACUGAGAUACGGCCCAGACUCCUACGGGGGGCAGCAAUUAGGAAUCUUGCACAAUGGGCGAAAGCCUGAUGCAGCGACGUCGCGUGGGGGAUGAAAUCUUUCGGGAUGUAAACCCCUUUGUCAGGGAAGAAACAAUGACGGUACCUGACGAAUAAGCACCGGCUAACUUCGUGCCAGCAGCCGCGGU
rnacentral:rRNA from 1 species